rnacentral:lncRNA from 1 species
GCUCAGUUGCGGAACCCUCGGCGGGCGCGCGGGCUGGCGCCGUUCCCCUCGGCGGCUACCCCGGCCUGGCGCCUUGCAAAGUCGUCUUCUGUAGAGGCCCUCAGAAAAAGAAAACCUUCGGCCCUAUGGUUGUCGGUUGUUGGCGACCUCGAGGUGCUGAGGUGUCCGGCCCCUGCUGGGGCAAAGUGUCUGGCGCGGAUUGGGCAGGGAAGGUUUGGCUCGAUGCUUUCAGGCUACUUGAGCUGCGCGAUACCCUGAGUAGCCUCGGCUUACAGGCAGGGGGAUGGUCUUGUUACUUCUCUCAUCCCCCUGGGUCUCAGACCUCCGAGGCCACACCUGAUACUCCGUCUUCAAAGGCUAGGCUAGUGCUGGAAUGUGGGUCCCCACAUUCUGAGUUCUGCUAGAGUUGCUUUUGGACAAGUUUUGCUCUUAGAAUUAUAAAAGCGAGACACGUUUUUAAAAGAAAACUUAAAAGUGCAGGAAAACAGAAAGAAAAGCCCUACCCUGAAGAUAGUUUUAUCUAUUUCCUACCUAGAUAUGCAACGUUAGACAAAAAAUAACUUCAUAUUGUUUUCUGGUGUGCUUACACUUUUGUGCUUCCUGUGCCACUAAAUAUUGUCUCAAAACAAUUGUA